CUUUGGGGUGGUGGCGUCCAGGUCGACAUAUUCGGAGGCCCAUCUGCAUUUUCUUCUCAAGUAGUUGAGGUAUUUAGGGUCUAUGGUGGGGUCAGCCUUCCCCGUUCCCUUGUGGUUAUAGAUCCGCGACUGUACUGAGCCGCAUGUGCAACGCCCUAUGAAAGCUGCCGGUAGAAUUGUAUGCAUAUAUACAUACCUGAGAGCACGACCAAGUCUAGCACAUUGAGACCCUGGGACUGGAAGAAUUCAAUGAGGGAGGUGAUGUUCUCGUGACCCAUUGGGACCAGCUUGGCUUCCUUAGCAAUGGAGACGCGGCCGUCUCUUCUGCCAUAAGGAACCAUCCAGAAUGGGCCUCCAGCCAUGACAGUGGCAUCCCUUGCGGCUGCUGUUAGGAUGUCAGCGCAGGACACUGUCUUUGGGCACUUCUUCUCCAGUUCUGCCUUUAUUUCGUCUAUCAGCUCAAAGCCCCUCAAUGACUUGCUCUCUUCAGCCUUCCUCUCGCUUCCCGGUUGGUUCAACAGGAUGGACGCGUCACAUCCCUCCAUGGUCUAAUAACUACGUGCGCUACUUACCCUGACGGAGCAGUCAUGGAAAUGCAACCUCAUGAGGGCGGGAGCUAAUGUGCGGUCCUUGUCAACCCAUUGCUUCACUUUCCUGUGGACAAUGGCUUCGAACUGUGGACACGUCCGGUGGUAGAAGCCAAAGAGCAGGUCGAGUUCCUCCUCUUCUAUAAAUUGUGCCCAUGCUGAAUUACAUGAUAAUUGAACAACUGUCAGGACAGCGAUCAUUAAGACCAGGGAUGUCACCGGAACCUUCAUGGUCGAUACGUAUAUCUGUAAGAUAAGCUGGGAUGAGGGAACAGGCCGGGCAGCUAGCUGGCUGAAUAGUUGCCUCGGAUGCGAUGAACGGAUGGAUGGAUUUGAAUUUGAUGAGUUUGGUUGUGUUGUGAAAUUGGGAUUGCUACUGUACUUUUAUAUACAUACCGUAUGUGAGCGCAGGUAGGUAGGUAGCUAAGGGAGGGGAUUGGAAAGGAAGUGUUUGUUGUGCUAAAAAGAAGAAUGAAAGACGUGAUAUCCACUCACGGGAAGGGACUAAGUUUAUGAACGAAAAUACAGUACAUGGCCGGCAUGUAUGUAUUAAUUAUUACGUGCAUAGUUUAUAUUUGAUUGAA